UUUUGAGUUUAAUUUUUCAUUGGAUUUUGGAUAUUUUUUCUUAAAAAGUUGACCGAUUGUUCCUGAUGGAUCCUGUUAUUCCGCCAUGAUGCUGAUAACUUUUUAUUGUUUUUAUACGACCGCAAAAUUUGAAAAAUUUUUCGUCGUAUAUUGCUAUCACGUUGGCGUCGUCGUCUGCGUCGUCGUCGUCGUCGUCGUCCGAAUACUUUUAGUUUUCGCACUCUAACUUUAGUAAAAGUGAAUAGAAAUCUAUGAAAUUUUAACACAAGGUUUAUGACCACAAAAGGAAGGUUGGUAUUGAUUUUGGGAGUUUUGGUCCCAAUAUUUUAGGAAUUAGGGGCCAAAAAGGGCCCAAAUAAGCAUUUUCUUGGUUUUCGCACUAUAACUUUAGUUUAAGUUAAAUAGAAAUCUAUGAAAUUUUUGACACAAGGUUUAUGACCACAAAAGAACGGUUGGGAUUGAUUUUGGGAGUUUUGGUUUCAACAGUUUAGGAAUUAGGGGCCAAAAAAGGGCCCAAAUAAGCAUUAUUCUUGGUUUUCGCACAAUAACUUUAGUUUAAGUAAAUAGAAAUCAAUGAAAUUUAAACACAAUGUUAAUGACUACAAAAGGAAGGUUGGUAUUGAUUUUGGGAGUUUAGGUCCCAACAGUUUAGGAAUUAGGGCCAAAAAGGGAC
rnacentral:lncRNA from 1 species